rnacentral:rRNA from 1 species
AUUGAACGCUGGCGGCAGGCCUAACACAUGCAAGUCGAACGAGUGGCGGACGGGUGAGUAAUGUAUGGGAAACUGCCCGAUGGAGGGGGAUAACUACUGGAAACGGUAGCUAAUACCGCAUACCAUCGGAUGUGCCCCGAUGGGAUUAGCCAGUAGGUUGGGUAACGGCUCACCUAGGCGACGAUCCCUAGCGGGUCUGAGAGGAUGACCAGCCACACUGGAACUGAGACACGGUCCAGACUCCUACGGGAGGCAGCAGGGGGGAAUAUUGCACAAUGGGCGCAAGCCUGAUGCAGCCAUGCCGCGUGUAUGAAGAAGGCCUUCGGGUUGUAAAGUACUUUCAGCGAGGAGGCGUUACUCGCAGAAGAAGCACCGGCUAACUACGUGCCAGCAGCCGCGGUAAUAC